GACGAACGCUGGCGGCGUGCCUAACACAUGCAAGUCAACUUGACUGAAGGAGCAAUCUGACAGUAGAGUGGCGCAAGGGUGCGUAACGCGUAAGUAACUUGCCCAAGGUAAGGAAUAACGUCGAGAAAUCGGCGCUAAUACCUCAUAAUGCAGCGGAUCCGCAUGGAUAUGUUGUUAAAGGUUUACCGCCUUGGGAUAGGCUUGCGUCUGAUUAGCUAGUUGGUGUGGUAACGGCACACCAAGGCUACGAUCAGUAACUGGUCUGAGAGGAUGAUCAGUCACACUGGAACUGAGACACGGUCCAGACUCCUACGGGAGGCAGCAGUGAGGAAUAUUGGGCAAUGCUCGAAAGAGUGACCCAGCAACGCCGCGUGGAGGAUGAAGGUAUUCUAUAUCGUAAACUCCUGUGAGAGCAGACGAAAGACAGAUUAUAAUCUGGAUGACUGUAUGCUCAGAGGAAGCCCCGGCUAACUACGUG
rnacentral:rRNA from 1 species